rnacentral:rRNA from 1 species
UUUGUCGCGGCUGCCGUGAAAUGCCGGGGGUCGCUCCGGAUCUGCGGCGGGUACGGGCAGACUAAAGUGAUGUAGGGGACACUGAAAUUCCUGGUGUAGCGGUGAAAUGCGCAGAUAUCAGGAGGAACACCGAUGGCGAAGGCAGGUCUCUGGGCAUUAACUGACGCUGAGGAGCGAAAGCAUGGGGAGCGAACAGGAUUAGAUACCCUGGUAGUCCAUGCCGUAAACGUUGGGCACUAGGUGUGGGGGACAUUCCACGUUUUCCGCGCCGUAGCUAACGCAUUAAGUGCCCCGCCUGGGGAGUACGGCCGCAAGGCUAAAACUCAAAGGAAUUGACGGGGGCCCGCACAAGCGGCGGAGCAUGCGGAUUAAUUCGAUGCAACGCGAAGAACCUUACCAAGGCUUGACAUGGGCCGGACCGGGCUGGAAACAGUCCUUCCCCUUUGGGGCCGGUUCACAGGUGGUGCAUGGUUGUCGUCAGCUCGUGUCGUGAGAUGUUGGGUUAAGUCCCGCAACGAGCGCAACCCUCGUUCCAUGUUGCCAGCGCGUAAUGGCGGGGACUCAUGGGAGACUGCCGGGGUCAACUCGGAGGAAGGUGGGGACGACGUCAAAUCAUCAUGCCCCUUAUGUCUUGGGCUUCACGCAUGCUACAAUGGCCGGUACAAAGGGUUGCGAUACUGUGAGGUGGAGCUAAUCCCAAAAAGCCGGUCUCAGUUCGGAUUGGGGUCUGCAACUCGACCCCAUGAAGUCGGAGUCGCUAGUAAUCGCAGAUCAGCAACGCUGCGGUGAAUACGUUCCCGGGCCUUGUACACACCGCCCGUCAAGUCACGAAAGUUGGUAACACCCGAAGCCGGUGGCCUAACCCCUUGUGGGAGGGAGCUGUCGAAGUGGGACUGGCGAUUGGGACGAAGUCGUACAGGGGUAAC